rfam:Loxodonta africana unplaced genomic scaffold scaffold_53, whole genome shotgun sequence.
GCGCCGCUGGUGAAGUGCUAGCAUACAAGAGUCCCAUUCUUGCGACCCAGGUUCGAUUCCCGGGCUGCGCA